UCCCAAGCAGACUCUACACUGUCAGCGUAGAGCCUGAUGCGGGGCCAGAACUCACAAACUGUGAGCUCACCACCGGAGCUGAAAUCCAGAGUUGGAGGCUUAACCCACUGAGCCACGCGGGCGCCCCCUGGCUUGUGUUUCUCGAAGGUGCCUUGCUCUGCUUACACCCUUUGCCUUCUUUCCUCCAAGACUCAGGUCGAUGAGACCCCCGCCCCCCAAGGAAGCCUCUGCUGGGCCCACCCUCUCUUCCGGUACCUCCUGUCCCACCCCGGGGUGGGCACAUGCCUCUCCUCUGGGCUCCCGCCGCACACUGGGGUCCCCUCGCUACAUUUAUCACAACGUCUGAAAACAAGUAGACCGUCUGCCUCUCCCACUGAGCCCUGAGUUGUUCGAAGGCAGAGAGGUUGGGCUGCUUUAAACCGCGUGCCUCAGUUUCCACAGCCAUACAAGGAUGGCCCCCUGAAUCCUAUCUCCCUCCCCGUGUUAUUGUGGCAGAUGGCUUUAUGGGCUGUAUUCUGUAACUUCUGACACGAUGCAUAAAUACGAGUUAGAAUUACUUUCAAGAAAUUUACUUGGGUUAACAAUUUUUUUUUUUUCCCAGUUCCAUAAAAUCGACCUCAAGUAACACGGUCUCUGUGCGCCCGCUUUCCAAAACCCUGGCAGCGCAUUUAUGAAUCAGGAAAUUUCCGUUCCUUCUUUGACACACUAAAAAUGUGUCAUUUCCCCUUUUCCAAGAAGUUUUUUGACCAGCCCAAGACAGUUGGAUUCCUUACGUCCACAAACGUGCCGACUUCGGGUGGAUUGACAAAAGCAGGCCGAUCACACACGCUUAACGAAAUGUAAUGUGUUUUCUUAGGAGUGCUGUUUAACAACAAUUAAAGAAGAACGGAUUGUGCGGUCUGCAGACAGGAAUCACUUAACGGAAACCCAAUGAGGCUCAGAUGCUUAGGUCUGCAUUUUAGGGCCACCAGCCCGCCUUUAGAUUUCCCUGCUGGGAUGCCUUCCGUCAGCAGCUCUUAACCGGGCUGUUCCAGAGGGCUCUCUGCUCAGCGCUGUGGAGCGUCAGGGUGGGUGUUCUCUGGAUUCGCUUCUGUUGGACGGCGGGCAGUGGCGAGAGCAGCGGAUGCGGGGCAAGGCGGGCAGUGAGAGCGGCACAGGCUGUGAGGGCGCCCAGGCGACCUUCGGGGGCUCCGUUCGUGGCCUCUGGGUGUUUCGGUGCCGGCCUGGAACUGGGAUCCUGCUGGAGAUGGCCCCGCUCUGUGGUUCCUCACACCAAGACAUAUGUGAGCAAUUACCCAGCUCUGAGAGUGUGGGCGUGGGAGUGUGGGAGGGAAGGGCGGGCGGCUUCAGAAACCCCACCGCUUCCUGCUAAUUUCCCAAAGAAUAAAACUGGCUCCUGUCCCAUGGUUGUCUCUGUAGCCUGAAGUCAAGGAGAUGCCUGGGAUUUAUUAAAACACAGGCUGGUAGAUCAUCAUGGAGAGUGCUUCUCGGUGCCUGUUCGUGAUAGGUCGUUGGCCUUGCAGUGUGGCGGCCACCGACGUGGCCUGAUCCGCCUUGUCCCCGAAGGCUCGCCGCCCACCAUGUGCCACGUCUGUUCUUGAACACCCAGGCCCCCAGAUCCCCAUGGCUUUCCAGCUUUGCUGAAGCCUCUGUUAGGUUUCCACCUAAGCGCGGUGCAGGUGAACGUGUUAAUGCAUCGUGUAAAAUUGGAUCCCCAUCACCACCCUUCGGUUCGCGAUGAGCCCCCAUAGAAAGAAGGCAAGUAGUUCUUCAAGGAAGCGUUUGAAGGCCGCAUUCCUGUCACGAAGAUGCAUUAAGGUUUGGGCUAGGGAUUUGCCCUAAGUUAACUUAAAAUCAGACAGAGAACGUGAAGGUUGGAAAACCUCUUAGAGACCACGUUGUCCAAAAUUCUUGUCUAUACAGAUGGAAACGGGUCUGGGGGUGGGUUCCGAACCGCCGCUCGGCAGGGGCUCGUAGUGAUCGUCUGCGGUUUCAUUGUAUUUUGUAAUCUUAGGUACUAAGUAUUGUUUUGGUCUUUCUGGCUCCCGCCGAGGGUCUUUGUCGUUUCUACCGCGUUUUACCCCCUCCUUCCCCCUCAGGCUUACAUUCUUCUGGGUUUGUUUUGUUUUCCUUCCCCCCAAAUCAUCUCAAGGUCUGCCCAGGAGACUGGACGCCCAGCCCAAUGUUCCCGUGUGCUCCAGGUAAGCUCCUGUGUGGAUCCGAUCUCUGACAACGUCAGGAACAGAGCGCAAGUCCCAGGAAGGUAACUCUGGGGCGUCAACCGUAACCUCGAACGCACAGCCUCCCCGGCAUCCCCUCGGAGACUCGCGCCCGCAUGUCACGCAGGGGCUUCUUUCCCUUCGUAUCCAUCUUUUACCUCCCCCAGUAACGGGCAGGAUUUGGCUACGUGGCAGGUGUCGCAAACACUUGCACUAAUGCAGGGACGGUGGUGGUGCGGAGGGAGGGCCAGCCGUCCCUGCCUCUGUCCUCCUCCGGAAGGAGUCACCCUGAAGUUGCCCUCUCCCACCACUAGAUGGUAGAUGGUGGUCACACAUGAAUGGAAAGCAACCCCGAUUUCAAAUUCGUCACUUCUUCAUUAUUGUUUAUAGCAAGGGUGUCCUGUGUCUACCGCAUCCCAGGGAGCGGGCUUGCUGACAUUAAUGGGUCAGAGAAACUUCUUUCCUUAGAUCUUUCUCAGCCUGUGUCCUCGCGUCGGUCAGCUCCUGGCUCAAUGCCCUUUUCAGAGGCGCCCCCGCAGGGUGGGGUCCUGAUGAUAUCACCCUCCUCAUCAUCACUGUCCCCAUCACCAAGCACACCAUCACCACUCUCACCAUCACCACGAUCACUGCUAUCACCAUCAUCCUCGUCAUUAGCAUCAUCCUCCUACGCAAACGAGCGUCUUAAAAGAAAAUGAAACAGCUGGUAAGUUAGAACUCCGAUUUAGGGAGGAGGUAAGAUGGAAGACGAAGAUUUGUGUGUGACUAACCAUUCCUGGCCAAACCCAGGAAAACGGGUGAGCUCGCUAAGAAAAAAAAACAAGAACAGCAAAGAGGUCAAAGUAUCAGGAGGUGAUCAGGCUCCUGCAGGAACGAAGGAGUGUAGCCAGUUACAAGUUCAGACAGAGCUGGCAGGGAGGGAGCAUUAAAUGCUGAAGUGAGAUCAAGGCAAACAUUAACCCCGAAAAGGCCCUUACUGCUUUUAGGGAGCCCCGUCCUUAUUGAUGUGGGGGUGGGGUUUCUGUGGAGCGGUGGGGAUGGCAGUUCAUUAGGCACGGUGCGCCUGCUACGGCGCCUGAUGUGAUCGGAGGUCCGUCACCCAACUGCCCUCACACCGCCGUGCAGCCCGUGGAGGUCAGGGCCUUGGCUGGACGUGUGCGGGUUUGAAAUCAACCCAAGGAAGGAGCCCCUUCUGAAAUGUUUGCUGGGAGAAGUGGGAUUUAAACCUGCACCGUUAAUACACAGCGUUUACAAGCCACUUAAAUCAGUUACGUCAUUUCUAAAUGGUCUCUUGGCAGAGGGUGGUCAUCGGGGACUUCCAGACUAUUUCUUUUCUGGUGGCACUACUUUAGGAAGCGGCAAAGGAGCGUCUGCCACAGUGUAAGGUUGCAGAGAGAAGAUCGAGAACUCACCGCAGGACCGAUAGGCAGACCUCGGAGAUACCGCGGGUUCCGUUGCAGACUGCUGCAAUAAAGUGAAUAUUGCAAUAAACGCGUCAAACCAACUUUUUGGUUUCCCAGUGCAUAUGAAAGACUACUAGUGUAGUCUGAUAAGUGUGCAACAGCAUUAUGUCAAGAAAAUCAUGUGUAUGCCUUAAUUAAAAAUGCCCUCACUGCUAAAAAAUGCUGACCGUCAUCGUCACGUUCAGGGUAUCCUCAUCAUUGAUCACGGAUCACCGUAACAAAUAGAAUAGUAACGCCAAGUUUGAAAUCCGGCAAGAAUUAGCAAAAUGUGACUCAGAGACACGAAGUGAGCAAGGAAGAAAGCAGCACCGAGAGACGUGCUCCGUGCAGGGUCGCCGCAAACCUUCAAUUUGUGGAAAACGCACUAUCUGCCGAGCUCAGUGAAGCAAAGUACAAUGUAUUGUGAUGUAUUGCAAUGAGCUUAUGUUGUCACGGAAAUAUUUUAUUAAAAUAAUUACAAGGCAAAUAGA